ensembl:lncRNA
CUGCCAGAGCCACUGACAGGCAGUCGAUAGCACAGCAAUUAAUGUCAUAAAUAAUUCCAGAACCAAUUACAUCAAAAUGGACUCGGAGCUUUAAAAAGGUCCAGCACUGGUCUUGUGGGUUCGGAGGAGGCGGCUCCGGAACCUCCAUAGACUCAAGGGAGCUCCGUGCUGUUGAAGAGUUGGAGAUGGUGGAAAUCUAGGAUAGGUGUUGUGAAGAACAAGAGCCAAGUUUGAUGAGGCCAUCAGGGACCAGGUUCUCAUGCUGCUUUGCAAAGAGAAUGUAUAACAGGAUUUGUACAGGGCUGCAAAUGCUGAAGAUGACAGUUAAGGAAGAUGAAAACUCCAUAAAAGGAGAUCCUGGUAAGGAACAUGGAACUAACAAUCCAACACCAACUGGAAGAAUUGGUAAUGGUCAAAAGGAGAUGCCACAUGUCCUACCAAUCUCCCAGAAAUCUCCUUGCUGGAAUCCAUCUUGGCUGAGCAAAGUGUGUACCAUCAAGAAGGACCUUGAGCCAGAAUGAUUGGCCAGAGGCAACCUGGAAACUAAUCCCAUUACUGUAAAGCCUGAGACUGAGCCACGUGGCAGAGCAGCCCUCCUGGGAUCCCUCAUCUUCCUGCUCUCCGCCCUUCUCAAUAAAGUCGCUUGCUUCGUCAGCAUCUGUGUCUCCUUGGACAAUUCAUUUCUGAGCGUUAGACAAGAGCCCACUCUCGGGGGCUGGAAGGAGUCCUCUGUCCCACAAAAUGAGGACCUUCCAAGAAGUACAAAGUUUUAGUUGUGACGUAAUAAACUGGAUUAAAAUUUUCUUGCAU